rnacentral:rRNA from 1 species
UACGGAGGGAGCUAGCGUUGUUCGGAAUUACUGGGCGUAAAGCGCACGUAGGCGGCUUUGUAAGUUAGAGGUGAAAUCCCGGGGCUCAACCCCGGAACUGCCUUUAAGACUGCAUCGCUUGAAUCCAGGAGAGGUGAGUGGAAUUCCGAGUGUAGAGGUGAAAUUCGUAGAUAUUCGGAAGAACACCAGUGGCGAAGGCAGCUCACUGGACUGGUAUUGACGCUGAGGUGCGAAAGCGUGGGGAGCAAACAGG